GCAUAAUGAUGAUAAACAAAACAUAUACCGAUUGAUUUCAUGAAAGGAAUUCAUAACCUCCUACUCAUACUGA